CCAGCUUCUUCAGCUUCUCCUCCUCCAGCUUCUCUUCUUCUUCAGCUUCUCUUCUUCUCACAAUUGAAGAAGAGAAGCUGGAGGAGGAGAAGCUGAAGAAGCUGG
rnacentral:miRNA from 1 species